rnacentral:rRNA from 1 species
UACGUAGGGGGCAAGCGUUGUCCGGAGUUACUGGGCGUAAAGCGCCCGCAGGCGGUGUCAUGCGUGUGGGGUGACGGCUGCUCGCUUAACGAGCAGAGGGCCUUGCAAACGGUGGCACUUGAGGGCCAGAGAGGGACAUGGAACUCCGGGUGGAGUGGUGAAAUGCGUAGAGAUCCGGAAGAACACCAAAGGCGAAGGCAGUGUCCUGGCUGGUACCUGACGCUCAGGGGCGAAAGCGAGGGGAG